CUAUAAAAAGAAUGCUGACUGUCCAGUAGAAAGGUCAGCAGGCAAUGAGGCAGCAUGGUACCAUUCAAGAAGCACCAGCCUAGGAGACAGAGGACAAGGGACAAGGAAUUUUGCCUUUAUUGCUGCAAGAUAUUGGAAAUUCAUUCAAGGUUUUGGCUUUUUAUGAAUCUGAAUUUAUGGCACCAGAUCUAACUAGAGGAUUUAAUAAAGAGCAAGAGAGACAGCACAAGCAGGGAAGAAGGACAGAGGAAGAGAAAGAGUCUUAAGCAGUCUCCACAUUCAGCGUGGAGCUGACUCUGGGCUUGAUCCCAUGACCCUGGGAUCAUAACCUGAGCUGAAAUCAAGAGUUGGACACUUAAUCCACUGAGCCACUCAGGUGACCCAACGUUUUUUCUCACCUGAAUUCUGACUCAUGUGACUUUUCAACACUGGAAU